rnacentral:rRNA from 1 species
CCUACGGGUGGCAGCAGUAGGGAAUAUUGCUCAAUGGGGGAAACCCUGAAGCAGCAACGCCGCGUGGAGGAUGAAGGUUUUAGGAUUGUAAACUCCUUUUGUGAGAGAAGAUAAUGACGGUAUCCCACGAAUAAGCACCGGCUAACUCCGUGCCAGCAGCCGCGGUAAUACGGGGGGUGCAAGCGUUACUCGGAAUUACUGGGCGUAAAGAGUGCGCAGGCGGGCUUAUAAGUGAGAUGUGAAAUCCUGUAGCUUAACUACAGAACUGGAUUUGAAACUAUGGGUCUAGAGUGUGGGAGAGGUAGGUGGAAUUCUUGGUGUAGCGGUAAAAUGCGUAGAUAUCAAGAGGAAUACUGAUUGCGAAGGCGGCCUACUGGAACAUUACUGACGCUGAUGCACGAAAGCGUGGGGAGCAAACAGGAUUAGAUACCCGGGUAGUC